rnacentral:lncRNA from 1 species
GAAGAUGGGCACAACCGAAUACCAGCCGGGCGCAUGCUCACAAGUCCGUAAAGGUGAUGGCACCGCAACCCUCUUUCCUCCCCGUUUGAGGAUUUCUAAGCUACCGCGAGAGAAAUAGAGAGAAUGGGGAGUGAAAGUCGGAGCACCGCCGUUGUAGCCGCAUACUGGUGUUUGCCGCAAACGGGUCCGAUCGGGAGUCUUCAUCAGAGAGCGGUGAAGGUUGCAGCGGUUCCGGUGCUGGGAGAAGACCACUGGGGGCCAUGAGAUUUCUCACCAGAGCCAGGGAAGGGCCACCGGCCGCACCACGCCGUGGCCAAACAUCGUCGCGUCAUCAUCGUCGGUGAGUCCUCGUCGAUCAAGCUCGCUUCGUCCCUCUGCGUGUAGAGUAGACUAGAACAUGGUUUGGAGCCUGACGUGCUGGAUUGGGCAUUCCGUGCAUGGCGCCACAGUGGAUGGAAGGGCGCCGCCGCCCGGUGCCGGCUAUGGGAGGAGAUGCGAAGGAGACCUAAUCUUAGGAAAAAAACAAAACUAUUUUUGUAGGUAUCUAUAUGCUUGAAUGUUUGUUCUUAUGAUACCUGUUUGAUUUGGUUCUUUGGUUGAGUGAGAUGGGUUAUGGAGUAAUAUACACAAUUGCAUAUGCAUACACAUAUAGACAAAAAAAUGUUUAUAAGAUAAUUAGACAACCUAGAUUAUCCUCCAUUCAAAUGUAUCUAGCGUCACAGAUCCCUCUUAUCUUAACAGAUUCUAUCUUAUCCUUGGAGAUUCAUCUUAUAAACAUAGUUAUCCCAACCUAGACACAACGCCGCCAACCAAAAUUCUUUCUAACCUCCUUCAGCUGGGAACCAACUACUAGGCUAUCUGUUACAUCUACUAAAUUAUUUCUCUUGCAAAGUUAUCAUACCCUAUGUCUUUAACCCAGAUGGUUAAUACCAGGAGGGGAGGAGGUGUCGACUACCUGCACGUAUUCAUCGAAGAAGGGCAGUACCUAAUCUAGAAUCGGAAAUGAAUCCUCCUCUGAAUCCUCCGCCUGCUGGGACUGAUGUCGUGGUUGCCGCUUAAAUGCAACUGCUGCAAUAAAUGGCCAACACUAUGACAAAAAUGCACCACCCAAGGAUUUAUUUUUAUAGAGGAUCCUGAUUUCGUGCCCAUGGAAUUUUGAGUAGUUCGUGCCCUAUACCCAAGUUUGGCAUGGUGCCGUUGUUGUAGAAGCCACCAUGUGGCAAGAAGAGACUACCCUUGUGUUUAUCUUAUCGACUAUAGUUCUUCUAGUUUGUGUUAUUAUUGUAACCGAAUGUACUAAAUAAGGCUAUGUAUGAUUGUGGCACUACUUGAGUAAUGUAUUUCAUCAGAGACUAUUUUCUGGUGCUUAAAUACAUGUUUAGCUUCGGUUGUUGAGACCAGGGCAUUACACUAGGGUGCCUAUCGCGGACGGUCUAUGCCCCGCAGAGAGGACCCAAAUAGUCAUACGCACCGCGCGCAGGCCCUAGGGUUCGUUUAGUGAUUAAACCAAAAAGGCGUCAACAAGCUCUAUAUUCUAACCUUGUAGAAUAUUUUUCAGGCACAUAUGGUCGUUAUGUAUGUUUGUAAUCUUGACAGAUGAGAUUAGUCUCCACCAUAAUAUUUCAUAGCUAAAAAUAUCGAACAGUUAAAACCAUAAUUGCACAUAAGAUAAUUUGAUUCUUUGCAAAGGUUUUGACUAGAAAAAAUAUAGAAGCCAUAGAUUAAGAGAUAUUAUAUUGUGUAAUUAUUUUCUCUUCUCUUAGACAUCUUUUCCUACCGAGGCUGCUCCAAAAUAUAUCCAAAAUUUCCAAAGUGAGAUUCAUCUCCUCUGUUUGUAGAGUAAAAUGAGCUACAUCGGCGUUUAAAGAGAUCCGUCAGCAGGAUUUCCCCGUGCUAACUGUUGUAGUAAACCAAUUUCCGCCGCUUCAUUUAAAAAUUGUGAGAGUAAAGUCAUAUAGUUAAAAAAUAACAUGAAGCUAUUGCUUUAUGCUUUUGAGCAAUUAUUGGUGCUGAAAAUUAAUUUUCAUAAAAGCUAGUUAUUUUGCUUUGGCGAGGCACAUGAUGCAAUGGACCAAUACACAUAACCGUUGGGUUGCAAUCCAGGAGACUUUCCUAUAAAGUAUUUAGGUCUUCCUAUCAUUAUAGGAAGCUUUCGAAUGCUGAUUGGAAACGAGUAGUUGAAAGGUUUGAGAAAAAGCUUAGUAGUUGGAAAGGAAAACGUAUAUCCAUGGGUGGAAGGACUAACACUGAUUAAUUCAGUGCUAAGUAGUCUACCGAUAUACAUACUGAUUAAUUUAGUGCUAAGUAGUCUACCGAUGUACAUGAUGUCUUUCUUUGUUAUACCGAAAAAGGGUUCUUAAGAAAUUGGACUACUUCCGCUCAAGAUUUUUCUAGCGGAGUGGUGAUCAUAAACGAAAGUAUCGUCUUAUCAAAUGGGACAUUUUGUGUCAACCCAAGGAUCAAGGAGGUUUAGGCAUUCAGGACCUAAACUUAAAAAAUAUAGCUCUUCUCAGUAAAUGGCUUUAGAGCAACUCCAAGAGGGUACUAAAAAAAUGCUUCCCCAAGAUCACUUAUUGGUGGCCGUUGUUAAAAUAACUAGAAUAGAAAGCGCCCUAUUGGGCGCUCAACCAUUCGAAUAUGUAUCAAGAUCGAUAAAAUCAUAUUAUACAACAAACAUUUCAAACUCUCUAAUACAACGAAUAUGUCAAAUACUCUACAAGUCAGAUGAAAGAGGAGUAAUUAGAAAUAGGUAAGUAGAGCAUUCUGAAGAAAAGGCAAUGACCAUUGUUUCGAUGAAGUGGCUUUCCCCUAUUGCUUGCAAUCUAUGAAUGACGAUCAGUUGUCGCCCUAAAGAAACCUGGAGAUAGUUCAAACAACUUCAAAAAAAUAAUAUCGCCACAUAAAAUGAAUAAAUAUUUAUGAGCUUAUGUUUCAGUACAUUUGAACUGUAAUCUUGGAUUGUUCAAUAUAUAGUAAACAGCUGGAAGAAUACAUAAUAUAUAGUAAACAAUCCCCAACUACUAAUGAACAGCACUUGAAACUGCAUUGUCGCUAGCAGUACAGUUGUCGCUAGCACUAUAAUAAACAAUCCCCAACUGUUCAAUAUUAUAGUGUUCUUCCUUGAAGAAUCCCCUGGAAAAUAGUAUAGUAAACAAUCCCUUGGAAAAAUAAUAUCACCAGCAGUACAGUUGUCGCUAGCACUAUAAUCUUCCUUGAAGAACACAUAAUAUAUAGUGAACAAUCCCCAACUACUAAUGAACAGCUAGAAGAAUAUUGAACAAUGCAAGGAAUCAAUCUAUUAGUUCCAAACACAGAAGCAACAAGCUAAGUGCAACCUUCAAAUCCAACAUUUAUCACCACAGUUGUGAGAUGGUAUAGAGGGAGAAGUCACCUAACAACCCAAUUUUUAUCCACUAAAAGAUUGUGGGAUUUCAGGCCAUGAUGAACAACGGUAGGAUGGCUAGAGUGCAGAUAGUUUAUCCCAUUUUCUUGAAAAAUACAAUAAUAAUCAUUGCAAAAGAAUAACCAUAAUGCAUGUAUUACCACCCUAAUAAAGAAAUUUCUUCACUGAAACCUCCUGGAAUUUAUAUCAAGAGAACAGAAACUUGCAAAGAAUCCAAAGUCAAGGGAAGACUACUCAAAUAUUGAAUUGUGCUUCACAUGUGCCUCAAGCUCGAUUGCAACCAAUGCUUCAUGAGUGGAUCGGCUCCCAAACUACAACAAUCCAUAACAUGCAUCAAUGAGGACCAAACAAUGAAAGGAUGAGAAGAUAACUCAUAUCAUUUUUCAUUUUGAUGAAUCUAUCAACCAUACCAUCAUGGUAAUGCAAUGAAACUGCUUUUAUCCAAAAAUAUUCUCUAUAGCUAGCUCUGAACACAUGUACUAACAUAUUAGACAACCACCACCGCAAGGGGAAGAGCAUCUUCAACAGCUCGCCAAUACUUCAUCCACGAUAGGACAAUAUUGGUGAUUACCAAUACUGUUUUUUAGACUAUCGGGGAAUAUGCUCCAGCAGAUCACCAAUAAUCCCUCCAAAUAUAUGGGACCCACAUGUCAUAUUACAAUUUAUUUUUUCUUUCAGUUUCACCCUCGAUGUCUUCUUCCAGCUCACAUGUGUGGCUGUAAUUUUUAUGGGCAUGUGCUAUCGGUCUUGGCCACCGUGGCACUCAUGUGCGGCCCUAGCCCUGGCCGACACAAUGCCCAGCCCCAGCUAGCGUCGUGCCUAGUCCUACUCUUGGCCGUUGCUAGUGUCGCACCUAUCCUAGCCUCGGCCGGACCCGGACGUAGCCAUGACAUUCUGUCCUUACUGCUACGCGCACUGUGUGGCUGCCGGAUUUUUCGAGAGCCAUGGCCACUGUGUAGAAAGAAGGAAAUGGCAGUUAUUGUGGGACCAUCCUAUUGGUGGAGAUGCAAUUCCUCCAAUUUGAGGGGAGAUGUGGGAACCUAAUAAAUGGCCUAUCGGGGAGCUGUUGGUGCACCAAAACAAGUAAACAGCUCUAUCUCCCUCAAUACGACAGUUUCUGAGACCAGGGAUGAGAUUUGGGAUCCAUAGGAGAUGCUUUUAUGGCAAUAUCGUGUUUGUGCAGCUAGAUCCUAGACUUUAUUUGUGCUAUGUUGUAAUCAGACAAACAAUGGUGUAAGCAUAUAUACAUACUAUUUUAUUUAUUAUAGGCGGUAAUGUGAUCAAUAGGUAAAUGAUAUCGAUUGCACUGGAUCUGAAAAUCAGUUGCAAUGGAAAAUUAAUAAUAGAACCUACCUCUGUAAGAGGAUGUUGGUAGUUGGAUCGUCGAGGGUUAAGAGCGCGAUGGCGAGGUGCUGAAGCGAGAUGAAGCUGGAACCCAUAUUCUUAGAGAGCACAACCACGUCGAAGAACUGUUUGGUGGUCGCGGAGAAGGGCACGUCUCUGUCGACCCCCAUGUUAUGACAAUAUAGCCAUCACUCGUUUCUUAAAAUUAUGUCAGCAAUUUUGUUCACCUUGCCUGUCACAUAAUCAUAUGAAAUUGUAGUUUACAAUGAGUAAAAAAAAUCGUUGAUGCAGCAACCAAUUCAUAUAAACAAACUCAGCAUGAUCAUAGAACAAUUUGUUGUUACAAAGACACCAUACUCAAGUUAGGAUCAGGUUUCGAGCAGAAUACAGUUCUGAAAUACAAUAUACAUGUAGGUCAUCAAAAGCUAGGGAUAUAAUGAAAACUCUGCAUAAAUGUUUGAAGCUUGAACUCCAACAAAAAAGGUUGUUCACAACAUGAACAUGAUCGAUCAUGUUGAAACUAUGCAUGUGAAGAAAACAUAUUUCCCUAAGCUAGGUUCUGUCCACCGAGAGACAAAAUUGACUUAAAGAAAAGGUGUGCAGGAAGAGCACAAACUAAAUAAGAAGGGCAGAGUUGUACUCACUAUUUAAUAUUGUGUAAUGUAGUUUAGCAACAGAUGUGACCAUGGCCUGAUGUAAUACUCACCCCUAUGCAGAAUUCGAACCAUUGUGCAAUACUCAAGCCAUUGUUCUUGCAGACAAUUUCACUAGCUUUUUCUAGAGUUCCUCCAACAUGCUGUAACAAGCAUAUGCAUGUACAUAACUUCGAAAUUUCAGGCAGAAAGUGGAUUACUUUACCAACAGAAAAAUGUAUGGCAGUGUUAAACGUGGAACCAAGAAAAUAGCUAGGACAAUCCCUUACCACCUCACAGAAUUUAGCUACAAACAUUCGCAACCGAUGACACAAGCAGAUGACACAAGUAAAUUCAUCAUCCUUCCCAUCCACUGUAAUAUGCAUUACGUGCAUAAACAAUUUUUGCUUUGCAUUUGGAAAGUACUGCGUAGAAUAUAUGACAACAACCCCCAUCGUUUCAGACAUUCCCGAUUGAUCCAAGCCACUUCUUAAUACUAAAUUAGCAACUUCAAUCGGAGGUACCAAGGACGCAAUAAAGAAACGCUUUAUUCCCCUGGGCGGAUGAGCACAACAAAACGCGGGCGCGAAUGGAAUAAUAACGAGUAGGGGGAGGGAGAGUCUCGGGAACCUGGGCGACGGCGUCUUGGUCGUCCUUGCAGGAGGCGAGGACGACGUUCUUGGCGCGCAGGAUUUCGUCGAACGACGCGCCCUCUGCGACGCCGAGCAGCUUCAGCGUGUCCUCCACCGUCAUCUCGAACGGAGCCGGCGAGGAGUCAUCCGCGCGGGAGGCCGACAAGCGCGGCGGCCUCCACCGCGAGCUCGGCUGCCAUUGCGUGCUUCCACCGCUGUGCGUCGUUUACAUGGUGUGGGCUGCCUUCGUCGCCUAAAGGCGUCGCACGCCGCUCUCGUUGGUCGUCGGUCAUGGGGGAGGCAGAUCCGCCUGUGAUGGCGACGGAUACGGAGAAGGGCCGGCUCUCGGCGACGGAGGAGGCGAGCGAGUCGAUGGUGAAGAAGAGACAGCGACGGCGUUGAGCGCAUCACACGUAGGGGAGAGGGAAGAAGCAGGGCCGACGGUGGGGGCAAGGAACCCGCCAGAGAUUGGGGACGGACGCAGAUGAGGAGGAGGAUAGGGCGGAGGAGGAGGCGGUGGUGGAAGGGGAGGUCCAGGCGAUGAGGGCCACGGACGCGAGCAUCUGGUUCCGUUGAAUUCAAUAAAAAAAAUUCGGGUCCGAGAGCCGCUUCCCACGCGUCGACGAGCCGUGGACUCAAGUACCGCGAAGUGCGGAGAGGCGCCCAAAAGGCUUCACGUUUUAAUAACAUAGAUUUCUCCCCAAAAAUCUUAGCCCACAACAGACUGCUAUAAAGUGAUCGCUAAUUUUUUUGAAACCACUUAAGUGGGCCACGACAAACCAACUGUGUUUUUUCGUUCCAAUGCCUCAUGCAGCAGCAGGCAUCGGACAUGCAUACUGUAGUCUCCAAUUAAAGCAUGAACCAUAGAGCAGCAAUUCGACGACCACAAUUCAAAAGCAGACGUCUCUCUUCACUGCAACCUGAAACACUUGCUGGAAUUGACAAUGGAGCACAAGUGGCAUCUCUCUUUUGGUUGUGUAGAUCAGCUAGAGAAGUUGGCAACCCUCCAAUUCAAGCAUGAACCACACAGUGACAUAUUCAUUAAUCAAAACAGACUCCCAGCAAAACUUCUAGAAAGUAUACUGGAACAACUACCACAAGCUACUGAGUUUUAUCCAAUAUACAACACAAUGUAUGGACAGAAGCUAGCUAAUUCGAGGGAUUCUCCAUGCUUAAAGCUACUUCAAAAAUUCCAGUGCACAAACUUUGAAAUUAAAGACAGAUUAUAAAUAUUUUACCUCAGUCUAAUUUAUUCUGGUAACUUCUCUUUACAGUAUCAAGAGUUGUAAUUGGAAAUGGCAGCGAAUGAGUUACUGAGUUCAGCACUAAAACACGAUAUGACGCAACCUUUAGGGUACCAACAUGCAACAUUGUAAAAUGGUAAUGUUGAUUAAUGUAUAAACUUGACCUAGGAGGUCCACACCAGGCAGGCAAGCAUUGCGGCUUCCUCCUCCCCUCCCCGAAGUUGUGUGUUUCGUGGUUCUGGGAUGGAGCUGGGGCUGAUCCUAGGCGACACAGCAAUGCCAGACGCCGCCAGGGCGGCUCCCGAGCUAGGCCUUGGGUUUGGGGUCGGGAUUGGAGCCAAAGCCGACGGAACCGGAAGGGGUGAGGAGGACAAGAGGGGAAGCAAGACGGCGGGGACAAGAACUGGUUGGUGGCCGGCGCCGGCCACACCGGAGUCGGUGGUGUGGCUCAGCCUCGUGUCCAGCCUUGGCCUUUAGUGGCCACAUCAGGACGACGAUGAGAGCCAGCCGUGUCACCCGCCCUUGAAGAAGCCACCAAUGCCGCGCCUAUGAAAAACAACUCCUGCCACCGCCCGCCUUUCCUCGAACAAGCCUUUCCUCGAACAAAAGUACGCGCGCAGCUGGAAAAAAAUUGCGGGAAGCUACUGUAUUAUGCGCGCUCGGAGGAUUGGGGAGAGUCUGGCUCACGCAUAUAUGCGGGAUCCAAUGUCUCAUUUGCGGGAAACCAGAAAAAUAGGAAAGAAUUAGCAGUCUGUUGGAGGCCAGAAAAGCAAAGUUUCGACACGAAAAACGCUAUUGGGGUUACUAUACGAUAUCUCUUGGAGUUGCUCUUACAAAUUGCUCACAUCAGAUUGAACUUGACACUAGAUUAUUCAGAACAAAUACCUCUAGAACAAACCGUUAUUAAAGGUCCAAUGGAGAAAUGGAGACUCACAUUUUUGGGUAGCCUCAUUAAGGUAAAGCGAGAAUUUUUACUCUUUGGAGGAUGGUUCACAUGUCGGGUUUUGAGAAGAAAAAUGGCUGGAGAAUUCAACUUUGAGGGAGCAGUAUCCUUAUCUAUAUAAUAUAGCCAGACACAAAUAAAUUACUUUUGCAGAAGCUCUUAGCAUGUCUCCCCAAAUCACGUAGGAAUAUCAAUGGACACAAAUUAGCAGUAUUGAACAGAUUAAUUCUACGCAUUGCUAACAGAUAGAAUUUUUUUAUGUGAAAUCUUAUUAUUUGGCAAUGGUACACACCGAUGUCCCAAUUCUUAACAAAUGUUUGCGGAAUCUAAAGGCCCAUUUAGUGGGUGUUUGGUUUAAGGGAUCACUACAUCCAAAUUGAGGUGGUGCAUCAUGAGUUCAUUUCUCAAAUUUGGUGGGAUGACCAUAUUACUUAUAUUAGUACUAACUAACUAACUAUGAGAAAUGUGGUGGUGAUGGAUCAACUCAUUAUAUUGCACAAACCAAACAAAAAUAGUGAGAAGUGAGAAGAUGAUGGACUAGCUUAUUCCUCAAACCAAACACCCUAUUAAAAAUUAAAAUAUUCAUAUGGUACUUACGACGUGGUGUAUAGUCUUAACAAAAGAUAACUUAGCAAAACGAGAUAGGUAAGCCAGUAAACAAUGCUGUUUUUGCCAUAAAGAUGAGACAAUUAAACAUUUGUUUUUUUAUUAUCGUUUCACGCGUGCAGCGUGGUCAGUUAUAAGUGCGUCCUCAGGCCUCUCUACUAUGCCACAUAUGUUUAGCACUUGGUUACAAGGAAUUACAAAAGGAGCUAAAACCGUUACUUCUGCUAGGAGUGACAGCUACUUGCUGGUCGUUACGGCUUAUGCAGAAAUGGUAUAUUUUUUGACAAAAAACUUAACUCUUCUACUUUGUAGGUUAUCUUUCAUUCAUUCAUUGGCUUCGUACGUGAACUAAUUUACAAAAGCCAGCUUUACAGAAAUUAGCUCUUGUGGCAUCACAGAGAUUGGAGGAGAUGGUCAAGGUGUUUUUUACCUAGACACAUGGACGGCGUUUUAACCUACAGAUUGAUAGUCAUUAGUGUGUUUGGUACUCCAUCCGUUCUUUUUUAUUUGCCACCGUUUAGUUUAAAAAAUAAACUAAAUGGCGACAAAUAUUCGAGAAUGGAGGUAGUACAACUUUAUCUGUUUUAUAGGUUGUGUGCAUCUUGCUAUGCAAAUGUCGGAAGUUUUUUCAAGAUUUUGUAUCAACUCGAGACCUUGAAAAUUAAUAAAGCUUCUUUAUCGAAAAAUGUAGUUAAAAAUAGUGGUAAAAUGACAUCUGGACUUCCGGUUAGUGACAAGAACACCUUUCUUCCAAAUACUUUAGAUAAAGAUCGACCACUGAAAAGGUUUACGUUUUGUGCUUUUAUUUGAUCAAUCAAUUCAAAGUGUCCACUUGAACAAUUCCUUGUGAUGCCCUAUAGACAGUAGUGACUUUAUCCAUAGCAGUUGACCAUUCUAAGCUCUCAGCAGUUGACAUUCCAAGGUUCAUCAACUUUGAAUGUAAUCAUGUUAAAUAUUGGAUGCAACCUAGGAAUCUGGUAAAAAAUCAACCAGUACGUAGUUUUUGUGAUUCCCAUAGAGAACGCUUGUUGAUGCCAUGUGCAUGUAGGGCAAAUGGAUUACAAUGCAAAUAUGGAUUGUACAAGCAUGAAAUCUUUCUCAGGAUGUAGAGAAAACUGAUUUCACAGAUAAAAGACAAAGGUUUAGACGCAGGCAGGAGAAGUUGGUCAUAUCUGCGACAUUGUAAGAUAACAGCUAAAAGCACUAUUUUUUACAGUGAUGGUGCAAAUUUAAUUAGUAGCCUCAUAUACUACCUUUAACAUGGAACUUCUACUAACCUGACAGUAAAUAGUCAAAAACCCUGGUAAUGGAUACUAUAUUUCAGGGAUGAAGCAAUUAACCAUAAAGAAAAUCAUGUAUAGUUCAACCGAUUUGCAAAACCAAUAUAUCUUACGUACCGUUUAGAUCAUUAGAAUUGAAUUGCAUUCUAAUAAUAGUAAUUUAGGCAUAACUCAAUUAAGCUAAUUCGGUUUUAUGCAAAAUAUAUCAGUAUACUAUCACUAGCAAGAUGUCAAAAAUAUUUAUGUGCUACAUUUUUACUAUAGAGGAGUGAGUUGAAGAGUGUUUUAUAAAUUACAGAGUAGAAACAAAUUUUAGUAAUACAUAAAAUCAUUUCUCAUCCUUCACCUCAUUAAUUUGAGAUAAGUUUAUAUCAAACUUUGAAAAGUGGUGGAAUGUUAUAUUCCAAGCUAAAUAGAUUAUUUUAUUAAGUGAAUUCAAAUUCCUCUAAAAUCAAGAGAUCCAAAGGCCCCGUCAAGGAAAAUGCUCUUGCGUUACAGGUUUUGCUACAGGUUAUGUACUUCACAUUUUACAUUCCCUCUUCACAUUAUGGCAUGCUUAGUCACUUGAUUUGAUUGAUUGACGGUUAUUUUAAUAACUGCGAUUGUUACAUGUGAGCCAAGUAAUGUUUCCAAUGCAUCUAUACAGGGUACCAACCUAUAUGUUAUCUGCAACUCCACAGGAUGGCUUCAGUAAACACUUCAUCUCGCAUUCUUGUGCCUGAUUGAGUAAAACCAUAGCAGCUAAAAGGAUAUUGGUUCUAAUCAUUCAUCUGAACACAUACUUGCGCAUACGAAUGAUUUCAGGGAAUAUAAUUCCAUCAAAGAUUCUUCAAAUUUCAUUGUAGUAGAAUUUGCAUUCAAUUUUGAGUAGCCAUUCUUUACCAUAACCACACGUGUCACAUGCAUGGUUCCUUUUCAGUAGAAACAUACAACAAGCUGCCACAUAUCUGAUCUCUAGGCACCCACUUUGCCUCGAAUCGCUACCCUCUUUCAGAUGCUCCUUAUCCAUAUAGAAUGCCACCUCUAUGGCCAAUAUUGUAUUAUUAAUUAGAAAAUGCGACUUCGUAGCGCAGCAUCGCAUACCUUUUCCAUGCCUGAUGAGGUAUCAGGGGGCUUUUGCUUUGGUUGAGAUUCUGGACCUAUAGGAUAAGAACAUACAAGGCCAUUGGUUUGCUAUGCUGUUCAUAGUGCCUUCAUAUAGAAUCUUGUUUCCUCCGUGCUGACUUGGCGUCACCAUAACAAGAUUCUAUGUUUGACUUGGCAGGUUCUUGUGUAGUGGCGGCAACCAUCAAUCUUGCUGAAUUUAUGCCUACGUAUAGGAUGGUAUUAUCCGAACGUGAAGAAACAGAUUUCGACUUUAACAAUGAUAUCUUGGCAUGGCGUACCAAGAGUUUCCAUAAUGGAGUUCCAGACUAUAAACAUCAUAAAUUCAUUUCUAAUAAUGAACUUCAGUUCAUUAAUAGUGAAUGGGUUUAACUACUAAUUAAGGUGCUGUUUGGUUUGGUCCUUUUCGUCCGUUAUUGAUUCACUGAUUAAAUCGAUUGUGUUGUUUCAUGUUUAGUCAGAACAACUUGUAUUGAUUUAUA